rnacentral:rRNA from 1 species
ACCAGACUCCUACGGGAGGCAGCAGUGAGGAAUAUUGGUCAAUGGGCGCGAGCCUGAACCAGCCAAGUCGCGUGAGGGAUGACGGCCCUACGGGUUGUAAACCUCUUUUGUCGGGGAGCAAAUUCCGCCACGUGUGGCGGAGUCGAGAGUACCCGAAGAAAAAGCAUCGGCUAACUCCGUGCCAGCAGCCGCGGUAAUACGGAGGAUGCGAGCGUUAUCCGGAUUUAUUGGGUUUAAAGGGUGCGUAGGCGGGACCUUAAGUCAGCGGUAAAAUUGCGGUGCUCAACGCCGUAGAGCCGUUGAAACUGGGGUUCUUGAGUGAGCGAGAAGUAUGCGGAAUGCGUGGUGUAGCGGUGAAAUGCAUAGAUAUCGCGCAGAACUCCGAUUGCGAAGGCAGCAUGCCGGCUCCACACUGACGCUGAGGCACGAAAGCGUGGGUAUCGAACAGGAUUAGAUACCCUCGUAA